rnacentral:rRNA from 1 species
GGAAUAUUGCACAAUGGGCGAAAGCCUGAUGCAGCGACGCCGCGUGAGGGAUGACGGCCUUCGGGUUGUAAACCUCUUUCAGUAGGGAACAAGGCCAGGCAUUGUCUGGUUGAGGGUACUUGCAGAAGAAGCGCCGGCUAACUACGUGCCAGCAGCCGCGGUAAUACGUAGGGCGCAAGCGUUAUCCGGAAUUAUUGGGCGUAAAGAGCUCGUAGGCGGUUUGUCGCGUCUGCCGUGAAAGUCCGGGGCUCAACUCCGGAUCUGCGGUGGGUACGGGCAGACUAGAGUGAUGUAGGGGAGACUGGAAUUCCUGGUGUAGCGGUGAAAUGCGCAGAUAUCAGGAGGAACACCGAUGGCGAAGGCAGGUCUCUGGGCAUUAACUGACGCUGAGGAGCGAAAGCAUGGGGAGCGAACAGGAUUAGAUACCCUUG